GGAGCAAAGCAGAGAGCGUGGGGAGUGGGAGUAAUGGGAGGGGAGAGAGAGAGAGAGAAAGAUAGAGUGAUAGAGAUAUAGAAAGAGACAGAGAGAGAGAGAGAGAGAGAGAGAGAGAAAUUUGGUACGAAUAGAAACGACGAUGAAAAAGAAAAAGGGGAGAUUAUUUAUCCUGGGUUCCGCGGAAUGUCCGCAGUCGACGAGUCGAGUUGCUUGCUUGUUUGCUUGUUGCGUGCGUUCCUGCGUUCGUGCGUUCGUACGUCUGGUCGUGCAACCAACCAAUUGACCAACCAACCGAUCGUUCGACCGUUCGACCGUCCGAUCAACCAACCAACCAACCAACCAACCAACCAACCAACAAACCGAUCGACCGAUCGACCGACCGACCAACCGACCGUCCGUGCGGCAAAGAUUCGAUAAGAGGACGCGGGGCUGCGCCUCAAGAAUGUCGGCGUUCCAAGAUGAAUACAUAUAGAAGAGAAGAGUCGGAGCAGUGUCGAGUGGGGUGGAGGUGAAGAUGGAGGAGGAAGAGGAGGAGGAGGAGGAGAAGUGGGAAGCCACGAAAAAGAAAAUGAAAGAGAAAAAGAAGAAGCAGAAGAAAACGAAGAAGAAGAGGAAAUAGAAAGAGAUGUUAAAAGAUGGAAGGAUAGCACCGAAAGUUCUCGUCGUUUAUGUCCCCUUUUCGAACUCGUAAAGAGUCAGCAGCGUGAAGAGGUUAAAGGAGCAUGGAAUACGUGUUCGAAAGAGAUAAAUACAUGGACGGAGAGGAAAGAGAGAGAGAGAGAGAGAAAGACAGAAAGAGGAAAGAAGAUGACGAUACGUCAUGUCUAACGCGUCAUAAAUUCGUCGCGAUGGAACAUAAAAAAGAAGGCACCGUCCUUUAUAUCCAUAUAGAAGAGGAAAAGUUUUUUCACUCGAAAGCUUGAAAAAAGACAAAAAUAAAAAAAAAAAAAGAAAGAAAAACACCACGAAAAUGGUAAAGAAAACGAAAUCGUGGCACGAUUUUCAUACAAGAGAGGUCACCUUUUUUUUGCGUUUUCGAACGAGCCACCCGAGUAUGCGUGUUCGACGAAAAGAAGAAAAAAGAAGAAAGGAAAUAAAAAAAGAAAAUCACACGAACCCUCGGUUGAUUCGGCGUACAUAUUUUUUUUUAUAAAUAUCAAGGAAAGAAACACAAGUCCUGGCGGAUUAAUAAUAAAUAAGAGCGUAGCGAGUCGGUUGGAAUACUGAAUGAAUUUUAAUAUUUCGCGUAGCGGUUGAAAAAAAAAAAAGGAGAAAAAAGGAAACGGGAGAACAAGAGAUGUAGCUUUUUCGUAACUGCCAGGCUUUAUUAUUUCAACGUGCAACAACAACAGCAACAACAACAACAACAACAACAACAACAACAACAACAACCAUGAUGAUGACGAUGAUGACAAUGGAAGGCGAACACAUAGCAACGCGAGCAAAAUGUCACUCCAACGUUCCAAUUUCAAUUUCCUCCAUUCUUUUUCAUUCGCGUUGAAAAAUUCAUUGUAGAGGAUGGCAUUAUCGAUACGAAUUGGGAUGCACGAAUCCAAUGUCGUAGAUCAAGGAACAACGACGAAUAAAUUAAUUUUAAUAAGAUAUAAUUUAUACAUUAAAGUAUCAAUAGAAUCAGAAGCAUAAGAGUAGCAGACAAAGAGAGAGAGUGCGUAGGAGAACAGAUGAUACCACUGUUACAAGUUGCUAAUUGUGACGCAAAAGGGGCUUAUCAUCGAUAAUUGAUAAUAAAAUUAUUGUACAAGGUAGGACACUCGUCGACACGGUAUUCUCCAAAGCGUCAAUCUAUCUCUUCCUCUCCUUUCUCUCUCUCUCUCUCAUGUACUCGUUUACCCGUACAUCAUCGUCUACAAAACGUUCAUGACGUCGAUGAAUCGUUUUGCUUCUAGCGCGAACGCAUUUUUUCUCACGGAGAUUGACAUAUUGACUGUGAAUCAAAUCGUUGAAUUGAAUUGCCGGUGAUUGCGAUGCAUAUAACAUAAACCAUUCGAAUCGACCGAGUUUCGACGAGGCAUCGUAAAAAUCAAUAUCGAAAUUAUGUGACAGACAUGAGAGAAAGACAGAGAGAUAGAUAGAGAAAGAGAAACAGAGAGAGAGAGAGAGAGAGAGAGAGAUAGUCAACGAUAGGACAGUCCCGCGAUAUUUUUUAUUUUUUUUUUUUUAUUUUUUUCCUUUCUUUUUAUCCAUUUUUUCCCUCCCUCCCCUUCUAUUUUUCUUCCAUAUUUCCCGCUUUUGUUAUCCGGAAUCCUAGCGAUUACGAAUCGACCGAUCGAUUGAUCGUAUUAAUCGCACGAAAGCGUCGCUUAUCGCUCUCUAGCGUGACAUAGUUUCUCCAUAGGAUUUAUAUAUAUAUAUGUAUAUGUGUGUGUGUAUAUGUGUCCGUAUAUAUAUAUAUAUAUGCAUAGUUAGAGCUGCGAAUCACGGUCCAUCAUAAUGCAUUAUCUCUCAUUUCUACUAUACCCUCAUAAUACAAAGUGACGCGCUUCCUUAUAUCGUAGAAUAGUAUAAGCGGGGCUUAUACGAUAAUCUCGUAGACAUUCGCUUCCGCCUGUGAUCCAUCCUUUCUCAUGGAUCAUGGAUCGUGUUCGCUAUCGAUCAUACGUUUACGACUUACGCAUUAUACUAAUCGUUUCCUUCCUAACCUAAGGAUAUUAGUCAUUUCUAUGUAUAUUUAAAUAUAGUCGUUGGUACGAUGCGUUUUCUUUACUUUUAAGUAAAGUAACGAAAGAAAAAAAAUCACACGUAUACACAGACACGCGCACAUGAACACACAUAUACCAUAGAAGCAACCAUAAAGAAAGAUCGAAGUUGUAAGACUCUUGUAGGAUAUUUUUGACAACGCAGCCCUUUGGAUUUAAUCGUCGGGAGUCCCCGAUUGCCGUGGAAGCCUUGUGACUCGGCCCGUUAAUUGGAUUUGACAGGAGGGGCAGCAAAUUGAAUUAGCAGACGAUUCCCGGUUAUUUACGUGUGUCAGGCAAUUCUCCGUUGAACGCGUCAAGAGGGGUUCGGACUUUACGUCCGAUAUGCUGUGCUUUGAGAGAGACGGAUAGAGAGAGAGAGAGAGAGAGAAAGAGAGAGAAUAGUGCUCGUUCGAUGCUGUACCAUGGAUGAAGUGUACCGCUACCAUGGACCAGUCUCGUUAAUCUAAUAUACAAGGUGUCUUUCUAGUAACAUGUUGGAUUUCAGUGAUUCGUAUCAAUAAACUUGCUUCUUCCCAAUAUAUCAAACAUAGUAGUGUUCCCCAUAAAUCCUGUACGAUUUAUUCUAAUAACAAAAUCCAUAAAUAUAAUCCGACAAAUCUUAAGAAAAUUAUUUGAUACUUCUCGUGAAACUUAAAAGUUUUAAUUAAGACCCGCACUCGAGUGACCUCCAUCGUCUGUCAGGAGGAGGACGAUGAAAAAAAAAAGAAAAGGUGAAGUUAAACAAAAAAGAACAAAAGAAAGAAAGAAAAAAAAAAGAAAAAGAGUAAAGCAAGUAAGUACUUAUCGUCGCGCGAGCGAUCACCUCGAUUACAAA